GUCAAGAUACUUUUGAUAAAUUAGACGAAGAGUCAAAAAAUGCAGUAAGACAAAUUGUUCGGGUUCUGUUUUGCCAAGGAUGCGGAAAAUAAGUGUUAGAAAAGAAGAUUUUUCGAAAUUGUGAUGUACAUUACUACAAGAAAACGAAAUGUGUUGUUUCUGAUGGAAGACCUGACGUGGAAAUUUGAUAACGAUUUACCAAGCUUACGAUGACCUUACAACAUUACAAGAUUUCACAUCAUUCGGUUUUGAAGUUUCAAAGUUGUCGUAGAAAUGAUGUACGAUCCGGUUCGGAGGACCGAAAAAAGUAUAAUCCGACUGGAAAAACAAAAAAUAUUCAAGUUUGGAUCUUCUAUCAGUAAGAACAGAAUCCGCAAAUAGUAUAAAAUCAAGUGACUUUAGAGCAGUGUCAUUAACACGUUUUAGAAAAUUGAGUUUGGCAUCUAAUGUGACACCCAAAUCACAAAAGGAAUCAAUUCUGGACAAAAUAGUGUUUUUGAAAUUAAAGAGAUACAAAUAUUUUGAGUAUUUUUGUUAGAGAAUGACUACAAAGUACGUGUCAAUAUUUACUGGAAGAUAGUGAGAAUUUCUCCAUGAAGGAAUUGUUGGAGGUCAUUUUGUAGUA